AGGCUUUGAUCCUGGCUCAGGAUGAACGCUGGCGGCGUGCUUAACACAUGCAAGUCGAACGAACCUUCGGGUUAGUGGCGGACGGGUGAGUAACGCGUGAGAAUCUGCCCUCAGGAGGGGGAUAACGGCUGGAAACGGCCGCUAAUACCCCAUAUGCCGAGAGGUGAAACGAAUUUCGCCUGAGGAUGAGCUCGCGUCUGAUUAGCUAGUUGGUGGGGUAAAGGCCUACCAAGGCGACGAUCAGUAGCUGGUCUGAGAGGAUGAUCAGCCACACUGGGACUGAGACACGGCCCAGACUCCUACGGGAGGCAGCAGUGGGGAAUUUUCCGCAAUGGGCGAAAGCCUGACGGAGCAACGCCGCGUGAGGGAUGAAGGCCUCUGGGCUGUAAACCUCUUUUCUACAAGGAAGAAGAUCUGACGGUACUUGAGGAAUAAGCCACGGCUAUAUCCG
rnacentral:rRNA from 1 species